GUGUAGGUGGCUCAUUAAGUCACAUGUGAAAUCCCCGGGCUUAACCUGGGAACUGCAUGUGAUACUGGUGGUGCUAGAAUAUGUGAGAGGGAAGUAGAAUUCCAGGUGUAGCGGUGAAAUGCGUAGAGAUCUGGAGGAAUACCGAUGGCGAAGGCAGCUUCCUGGCAUAAUAUUGACACUGAGAUUCGAAAGCGUGGGUAGCAAACAGGAUUAGAUACCCUGGUAGUCCACGCCGUAAACGAUGUCUACUAGCCGUUGGGGUCCUUGAGACUUUAGUGGCGCAGUUAACGCGAUAAGUAGACCGCCUGGGGAGUACGGCCGCAAGGUUAAAACUCAAAUGAAUUGACGGGGGCCCGCACAAGCGGUGGAACAUGUGGUUUAAUUCGAUGCAACGCGAAGAACCUUACCUGGUCUUGACAUAGUGAGAAUCCUGCAGAGAUGCGGGAGUGCCUUCGGGAAUUCACAUACAGGUGCUGCAUGGCUGUCGUCAGCUCGUGUCGUGAGAUGUUGGGUUAAGUCCCGCAACGAGCGCAACCCUUUUCCUUAUUUGCCAGCGGGUUAAGCCGGGAACUUUAAGGAUACUGCCAGUGACAAACUGGAGGAAGGCGGGGACGACGUCAAGUCAUCAUGGCCCUUACGACCAGGGCUACACACGUGCUACAAUGGUAGGUACAGAGGGUUGCUACACAGCGAUGUGAUGCUAAUCUCAAAAAGCCUAUCGUAGUCCGGAUUGGAGUCUGCAACUCGACUCCAUGAAGUCGGAAUCGCUAG
rnacentral:rRNA from 1 species